UACAGAGGGUGCAAACGUUUGCUCGGAAUUAUUGGGCGUAAAGCGCGUGUAGGCGGCUUGUUAAGUUGGUUGUGAAAACCCAUGGCUCAACCAUGGAAGGGCGUCCAAAACUGGCAGCUAGAGUCCCGACGAGGAUGGCGGAAUUCCCCAGUGUAGAGGUGAAAUUCGUAGAUAUUGGGAGGAACACCGGUGGCGAAGGCGGCCAUCUGGGAGGGCACUGACGCUGAGACGCGAAAGCGUGGGGAGCAAACAGG
rnacentral:rRNA from 1 species